rnacentral:rRNA from 1 species
GGUCUCGUAGUGACCUGCGGAGGGACAUUACCGAGUGAGGGCGCCCCGCGCGCCCGACCUCCCAACCCUUUGCCGACCGAACCGCGUUGCCUCGGGGUGCCGGCGCCCGCGCCGCCCCCAAGAGGACCCAACCGAAACCCUGCGUCUUUGCGUCGGAGUCACUUUGAUAAAUCAAUCAAAACCUUCAACAACGGAUCUCUUGGUUCUGGCAUCGAUGAAGAACGCAGCGAAAUGCAAUAAGUAAUGUGAAUUGCAGAAUUCAGUGAAUCAUCGAAUCUUUGAACGCACAUUGCGCCCCCUGGCAUUCCGGGGGGCAUGCCUGUUCGAGCGUCAUUACACCAAUCAAGCCCGGCUUGGAUGGGGGCGGCGGGGACCACCCCCGCGCCCCGAAUUCGUCGGCUGGACGGACGGAAUCUCAGCGUUGUGAUCUCUCAAUUCGCUCACGAGGACGCCCGGACGCGCCGUUAAAAUUGAAUCAGGUUGACCUCGGAUCGGGUAGGGAUACCCGCUGAACUUAAGCAUAUCAAAAGGCCGGAGGAAUUUUUCGUAGCUCGUACGCGCGAAGUGCUGCGCGGCGGUAAUGCUCCCGGCGCGGGUCCACGUGCGGAGGCCGUGAUGGGGCUUUUGUGUCGUCUAGGAGAUGCGGAAGAUGACCGAAGAUUAGUUUUUAUUUCGUAGACGGUCUUAAAGAUUGUUUUUUCUUAUAUGGCCAUACAA